rnacentral:rRNA from 1 species
GGUUAAGCGACUAAGCGUACACGGUGGAUGCCCUGGCAGUCAGAGGCGAUGAAGGACGUGCUAAUCUGCGAAAAGCGCCGGCGAGGUGAUAUGAACCUUUGACCCGGCGAUGUCCGAAUGGGGAAACCCAGUGUGUUCCGACACACUAUCGUUAACUGAAUACAUAGGUUAACGAGGCGAACCGGGGGAACUGAAACAUCUAAGUACCCCGAGGAAAAGAAAUCAACCGAGAUUCCCCCAGUAGCGGCGAGCGAACGGGGAGCAGCCCGGAGUCUGAAUCAGCUUGUGUGUUAGUGGAACGGUCUGGAAAGUCCGACGGUACAGGGUGAUAGUCCCGUACACGAAAAUGCACAUGCUGUGAACUCGAAGAGUAGGGCGGGACACGUGGUAUCCUGUCUGAAUAUGGGGGGACCAUCCUCCAAGGCUAAAUACUCCUGACUGACCGAUAGUGAACCAGUACCGUGAGGGAAAGGCGAAAAGAACCCCGGCGAGGGGAGUGAAAAAGAACCUGAAACCGUGUACGUACAAGCAGUGGGAGCACCUUCGGGUGUGACUGCGUACCUUUUGUAUAAUGGGUCAGCGACUUAUAUUCUGUAGCAAGGUUAACCGUAUAGGGGAGCCGAAGGGAAACCGAGUCUUAACUGGGCGUUAAGUUGCAGGGUAUAGACCCGAAACCCGGUGAUCUAGCCAUGGGCAGGUUGAAGGUUGGGUAACACUAACUGGAGGACCGAACCGACUAAUGUUGAAAAAUUAGCGGAUGACCUGUGGCUGGGGGUGAAAGGCCAAUCAAACCGGGAGAUAGCUGGUUCUCCCCGAAAGCUAUUUAGGUAGCGCCUCGUGAACUCAUCUUCGGGGGUAGAGCACUGUUUCGGCUAGGGGGCCAUCCCGGCUUACCAACCCGAUGCAAACUACGAAUACCGAAGAAUGUUAUCACGGGAGACACACGGCGGGUGCUAACGUCCGUCGUGAAGAGGGAAACAACCCAGACCGCCAGCUAAGGUCCCAAAGUCAUGGUUAAGUGGGAAACGAUGUGGGAAGGCACAGACAGCCAGGAUGUUGGCUUAGAAGCAGCCAUCAUUUAAAGAAAGCGUAAUAGCUCACUGGUCGAGUCGGCCUGCGCGGAAGAUGUAACGGGGCUAAACCAUGCACCGAAGCUGCGGCAGCGACGCUUAUGCGUUGUUGGGUAGGGGAGCGUUCUGUAAGCCGUUGAAGGUGUGCUGUGAGGCAUGCUGGAGGUAUCAGAAGUGCGAAUGCUGACAUAAGUAACGAUAAAGCGGGUGAAAAGCCCGCUCGCCGGAAGACCAAGGGUUCCUGUCCAACGUUAAUCGGGGCAGGGUGAGUCGACCCCUAAGGCGAGGCCGAAAGGCGUAGUCGAUGGGAAACAGGUUAAUAUUCCUGUACUUGGUGUUACUGCGAAGGGGGGACGGAGAAGGCUAUGUCAGCCGGGCGACGGUUGUCCCGGUUUAAGCAUGUAGGCGGAGGUUCCAGGUAAAUCCGGUACCUU